rnacentral:rRNA from 1 species
UACAGAGGGUGCAAGCGUUAAUCGGAAUUACUGGGCGUAAAGCGUGCGUAGACGGUAGCGUAAGUCGGGUGUGAAAGCCCCGGGCUCAACCUGGGAAUUGCAUUCGAGACUGCUCUGCUAGGGUGCGGAAGAGGGAAGCGGAAUUUCCGGUGUAGCGGUGAAAUGCGUAGAUAUCGGAAGGAACACCAGUGGCGAAAGCGGCUUCCUGGUCCAGCACCGACGUUCAGGCUACGAAGCGUGGGGGAGCAAACAGG